rnacentral:rRNA from 1 species
GUCUUUUUGAUUAAUAAUUUAAAGUCUAAUCUGCCCACUGAUAAUAUAUUAAAGGGCUGCAGUAUUUUGACUGUACAAAGGUAGCAUAAUCAAUAGUCUCUUAAUUGGUGACUUGUAUGAAAGAUUUAAUGAGAUAUAUACUGUCUCUUUUUAAUUUAUAAAAUUUAAUUUUUUAGUUAAAAAGCUAAAAUAAAUUUAAAAGACGAGAAGACCCUAUAGAGUUUGAUAUUUAAUUAAAUUAAAAUUAUUUAUAAAAUUUAAAAUUUUAAUUUAUAUUAAAUAUUUUGUUGGGGUGAUAAAAAAAUUAAAAGAACUUUUUUUAUAAUUUUACAUUGAUAAGUGAAUAAAUGAUCCGUAAUUUACGAUUAAAAGAAUAAAUUACCUUAGGGAUAACAGCGUAAUUUUUUUUUUUAGUUCAAAUAAGAAAAAAAGUUUGCGACCUCGAUGUUGGAUUAAGAUAAAAUUUAAAUGCAAAAGUUUAAAAUUUUUGAUCUGUUCGAUCAUUAAAAUCUUACA